rnacentral:misc_RNA from 1 species
ACCGUAGCAAACUGCGAUAA